rnacentral:rRNA from 1 species
GGCCUAACACAAGCAAGGCGAGCGGGAGCACAGGGAGCUUGCUCCGGGGUGACGAGCGGCGGACGGGAGAGUAAUGUCUGGGGAGCUGCCUGAGGGAGGGGGAUAACUACUGGAAACGGUAGCUAAUACCGAAUAACGGCGCAAGACCAAAGAGGGGGACCUUCGGGCCUCUUGCCAUCAGAUGAACCCAGAUGGGAUGAGCUAGUAGG